rnacentral:rRNA from 1 species
UACAGAGGGUGCGAGCGUUAAUCGGAAUUACUGGGCGUAAAGCGCACGUAGUCGGCUUUGCAAGUCGGUUGUGAAAUCCCCGGGCUCAACCUGGGAACUGCAUCCGAUACUGGAUGGCUUGAAUCCGGGAGAGGGAUGCAGAAUUCCGGGUGUAGCGGUGGAAUGCGUAGAGAUCCGGAAGAACACCGGUGGCGAAGGCGGUCUGCUGGGCAGUUGCUGACGCUGAUGCGCGACAGCGUGGGGAGCAAACAGG